rnacentral:lncRNA from 1 species
AGGCAUCAGCUUCUUGUUUUGUUCAAGUAUUUUCCCCACUGGUUAUCUAUCUGCAGCUUUUCUAAGCUACCUUCUAAAAUGUCAAGAAAUACGUGGGAAACCAUGGAGAUAUAACCAGCUACUGGAAAGUAAGGAGGUUGAAGAAAGGGUUGCAUUUAAAUUAGGCCAGAUUUACAAGGUUCACUACUACCCAGGAUAUACAAGGUGGCACACACAUAGUGACACCUUAACCUUAUGAACCAGCUACUGGAAAGUAAGGAGGUUGAAGAAAGGAGUGCAUUUAAAUUAGGCCAGAUUUACAAGGUUCACUACUACCCAGGAUAUACAAGGUGGCACACACAUAGUGACACCUAAACCUUAUGAAGGUAUAAUCAUUUACAAGAGCCUGCGACAUUUCCCAGGUCUCUAGCAAGAGCCACAAACUGAAGACUUAAAACUAAUACCAAAAC